rnacentral:rRNA from 1 species
GCUGGCGGCAGGCCUAACACAUGCAAGUCGAGCGGUAACAUUUCUAGCUUGCUAGAAGAUGACGAGCGGCGGACGGGUGAGUAACGCGUAGAAAUCUACCUAGUAGUGGGGGAUAGCCCAGGGAAAUUUGGAUUAAUACCGCAUACGCCCUUCGGGGGAAAGCGGGGGAUCUUCGGACCUCGUGCUAUUAGAUGAGUCUGCGUCGGAUUAGCUUGUUGGUGAGGUAAUGGCUCACCAAGGCGACGAUCCGUAGCUGGUCUGAGAGGAUGACCAGCCACACUGGAACUGAGACACGGUCCAGACUCCUACGGGAGGCAGCAGUGGGGAAUAUUGCACAAUGGGCGCAAGCCUGAUGCAGCCAUGCCGCGUGUGUGAAGAAGGCCUUAGGGUUGUAAAGCACUUUCAGCAGUGAGGAAAGGGGUGUCGUUAAUAGCGCCAUCCUGUGACGUUAACUGCAGAAGAAGGACCGGCUAACUCCGUG